AGGCACGUAGCUCAGGGGGAGAGCGCUUCCCUGACACGGAAGAGGUCGGUGGUUCAAAUCCACUCGUGCCUACCA
rnacentral:tRNA from 1 species